CAGUUCUUGACAUCCCUUGACAACUCCAGAGAUGAAGCGUUCUCUUCGGAGACAAGGUGACAGGUGGUGCAUGGUCGUCGUCAGCUCGUGUCGUGAGAUGUUGGGUUAAGUCCCGCAACGAGCGCAACCCUUAUUAUUAGUUGCCAGCAUUCAGUUGGGCACUCUAGUGAGACUGCCGGUGACAAACCGGAGGAAGGUGGGGAUGACGUCAAAUCAUCAUGCCCCUUAUGACCUGGGCUACACACGUGCUACAAUGGCGUAUACAACGAGUUGCCAACCCGCGAGGGUGAGCUAAUCUCUUAAAGUACGUCUCAGUUCGGAUUGCAGUCUGCAACUCGCCUACAUGAAGUCGGAAUCGCUAGUAAUCGCGGAUCAGCACGCCGCGGUGAAUACGUUCCC
rnacentral:rRNA from 1 species